AAUACAAAACAAAAUAAAAUUUUACAAAAUCCAAAAAAAAAUCCUACAAAAUUUUUUUUAAUAAAAAUGAAGUGCGGCACGCCACUUCUAUUAACCCUAUUUUUUGCUACUAUUUGCCUACAGUUUAGCGCUGGAGUGGCUGCUGAAAACAAAACUGUUACUUCCAGCCCCGUCGGCGACAUCGAAACAGAUGCCGAUUACGCAAAAGAUGACUACUAUUACGAUGAUGAGACGGACGCGGACGGAGGCGAUGUGGACAAUGAAUAUAUUGAUGAUGAGGAAGAUGUCGGCGAAGAAUACAAGAAUGAUGUGGCGAACGAGGCGGCGGAAAUAAAAGCAGCAGAGCUCCGAGUGGAUCCACCCUAUUUUGAGCAAGCGGAAGUCAAUAUUUACACACGACCCGGAGAAAAUCUACUACUCGACUGCGCGCCGAAGGAUAUACAUCCAAACAAUGUGAUCAUGUGGUAUAAGGGUAAAAUUGUGAUAGCAACCGGGCAAUUCGUUAUGGACCCCAAUGUGGAUGUGCUCAAGAAUAACUCACUGGUGGUUAAGAAUGUGACCUCUAAAGAUGCUGGCGACUAUUACUGUGAAGUGCUGCCUGAGAAGGUGCGCAUGCAUGCGCUGGUCGAAGUCGAUGAGAGCCUAAUGAUAUUCUGUGAUGGACAUGAGGUCACCAAUGAGACUUUGGUAUUUGUCCAGGGUGAACCACAUGUAUGUAUAUGCAAAUACUAUUCGCUGGAAAAUGUGCCGAUCAAAUGGUUUAUCGAUGGCAAACGUGCUGAAAGCUUGGUCGAACGAGUUCUUGGCGAGCAGCUCUAUAUUGACAAUGUGGAUACAAAACAUGGUGGCAUUUAUCAGUGCCUAGCCGAUGAUCUCUCACAGGAACCGCCGCACGCCAUGAUCGUCGUGGAUGUUGUAUAUGUGCCAAAGGUCUCCACUUAUCGGCAUUAUGUCAAUACGGAACAGGGUAGCAAAGCAGAGCUGUAUUGUGACUAUUCGGCAAACCCGAGCGGUGAAGUAUUAUGGCUUCGUAACGGUAAAAAACUGAAUAACUCCAAUAAAUUUACAUUUAACGAGAUAGCACAUAAAGAACGCAAACGUUCGAUCUUAACAGUUAUGGAUGUGAGCGCUAACGAUCUUGGCGAGUAUAUAUGCCAAGUGCAGAAUGCCAUUGGCCGUGGUGAGACGAAAGUGCAUAUCAUUUAUGAGCCAGAACAUCCACAAUUGGAGGACUUGGAAGUCAAUGGCAACCAAGCGGUGAUACAUUGGUUAGUGCGCAGCAUACAACCGUUAUCGGAGGCAGUAUUGGAUUAUAAACUGGCGGGCUUUUCGGAGCUGGUAUUGUAUGGUACGAGGGCGGUCCAAGUACUUAGUCUACAAAAAAAGAACGACAUUUUUACCUCGUUGAAGUAUCUUGAUUCAAUAAUGUUUAUAGUUCCUUAACCCGCUUGAAAAAUACACAACCUCCUUACGCGAAUAUAUUUUCUGCUCGGCGAAUGCUCAUUUCAAGAUUGGAAACAAAAAGAAGUUGUACGGAGGCAAAUCUGCGGAAUACGGUUGAUUGGACAGCAGCAUGUUGAUUAAUUUAGCUGUGGAGGUAUCAGACGGGGCAUAGAAUAGUAAUAACAAUUAUGUAUGUCUUCACGAAAUAGGACCAUUUUUAGGAAUUAUGUGUCGAACGGGUGCAAUAAUUCGGCACAUUAGGCCUCCGAGACCCCAGAAUACCAUAGAAUGAUGGCUACCCCUUUUCUAGGGUCGUCGGAUAAAAUUCACUUUUCCCUGGUCCUUGGUGUAUACCAUUGGUUCUAUGUUUCGUCGAUGGUCACGAGAAGACGCGAAAACUCAAAAACUGUUUAAGAACUCAUAGUCGCGCUUGUUGUCUGGAGUGUUCAAUAUAUCAUGCGAGAUAAAAUUCAUGCAAUCUUUUGAGAUGCUUACGGUCUCAGCCUCUCAACUCGCGCAACUCCGAGGCGGUGGGUACGUUAUCAUCCGUGGAAGCAGUUUUCCGCGAGCCUGUCAGCGGAACGCCCUCUUAUAUAUACAUAUAUAUAAAGCUUUAGAAGCAAUUGAUACGCGACAUAGUGUAUUUUCAUACGAAGUUUUUUUCCUUUGAUUACUCCUCACUCGAGCAUAGUGGGCUUAAACAAGGUUUCUCCAUCCAAGUAUCUGAUUGUAUUUCGGAGAUGCAAAUUUCCGUAUAAAAAAAUGACGAAUUACGGACAUUACUACAAAUUUGCAAUGCGCUCCAUUUACUUGACGCGGUUCAGCAAAUUGGUCGAGAAUAAAAACGACGGGGCUUUAAGGGUCAUAUUUUAGUUCAAAACUAAAACAAACGUCACACUUGGUGGAAAGAAGAAGUGUAUACAUAACAAAAAUCGAUAUACCAUAAGUGUCACUGAAUAUCAUGUGUCAACAGACUUUGGCUAAGACUACUGAACCUAACCUCUGAACUUACGAGGUAGCUGCAAGUUAAAAUCCAAAUUAUAUUUCCCCAAAAGCCAGCGCGCGCUGACACGGGCGCUGAUUACCAGCCGCAAAACUUUUAUUAUAUAUUGUGAAAGCACCUAACUCAACACCUCAGCCACGUGCACCGCUAUGCAGUACGUGUUGUAUGUAAAUAAGGUGAUUCAAUGUAUCUAUAAACUACUAUCUACUUGAUUGCGCCACUUGGAGACGCGCUGGGCGAUAUCCGCAAACGCAAUUAGGGGUAUUUAAAUUGAAUCACGCAGAGCGGGUUAAGGUUAUCGCAAGAAUUCGACUAAAUCUUUAUCACUAUUUACAUAUUUACAUGUUUGCGACUGUAUACCUGGUAGCCGCUGCUCAUCUGCUUCUAGGAAUCGUACACUUGGAGCAAGGUAUCUGUGGUGCAUACACGCCGCCACGCGGAAAGUCACAUUUGGAAGGUGACUCAUGAGAUGGAACUCACGCCGGGAAGUUGGCAUGUGCGUAUGCGUGCGAAAAAUACCGUUGGCUGGUCGGCAUUUUCUGCGCAGCAUGAUUUCGUAAUUAAAGAUAAUGAAAGUGAUGUGGAUGCGUACGAUGAGCUUGAUGGUGUCGAUGAUGGAGAUAACUUGGAUACAGCUGACGCGCCGAAAAAUAUGAUCGCUGUGGCCAGUUUCGGUGGCGGCGCUAAUGGCGGGGCAGCGUUGCAAAUGUCAAACAAAUUAUUUGCUUUGCUGAGUGCCAGUAGCAUGUAUUUGUUGUUGUUGUUGUCAAUAAAUGGAAUUUUAUAAAAAUUACGAAAGUGUUGAAAUCAACUAGCUGUUAGUUAAGUGUAUGCAUAUAUACAUAGCUAUAUGUUGCGUUAUGUUUAUCUGUGUAAAUAUGUAUGUAUGUAUAAUAAAAACAUAUGCACGUACAUACAUACAUAUGUAAACACAAUAUUUAUUUACAUGAAUAACUGUAUGUUUGUAAAUUUUUGUGUAUUUUUAUUUUAUAAUAUUAUUUAUGUCAAAACUAUUGGUGCCAAACAUAGAAUUAGUCAAACAACACAUACAUAAGCUAUAAAAAAUAAAUGAACGUGUCACAAAUAAA